UACGGGGGGGGCAAGCGUUGUUCGGAAUUACUGGGCGUAAAGGGCUCGUAGGCGGCCAACUAAGUCGGAUGUGAAAUCCCCAGGCUCAACCUGGGAACUGCAUCCGAUACUGGAUGGCUUGAAUCCGGGAGAGGGAUGCAGAAUUCCAGGUGUAGCGGUGAAAUGCGUAGAUAUCUGGAGGAACACCAGCGGCGAAGGCGGCGCUCUGGGCUGGCACUGACACUGAGGAGCGAAAGCGUGGGGAGCGAACAGG
rnacentral:rRNA from 1 species